GGACUAAUAGGCCAACAUAAUCAUUUGUAAACUCAAAAUAUAGGCCGACAAGGCCGUACAAUCUUUCCAUGACAUAUGUCUACAAGCCUCUAAGAAUACAUAAAUAUCAUAAGGGCCGAGACAGAGUCUCGCCAUACCAAACAAUACAUGUUUAAAUCAUCCUAGCCAAACAAGCAACUCCGAAGCAAAUGGAGCGCACCAACAUCUUCCGCUGAGCUGAUAGCCUACUUGGAGGGCUCUCGACCUGUCUAUCGGGACCUGCAGACAUGAAACUCACCAUCCCCAGGCAAAAGGGACGUUAGUACGAAUAAUGUACCGAGUAUGUAAGGCACAUAAAUAAGUACAUAAGAGAUAUGGAAGAAAUAUAGAGUACAUGACUCAACCUGUAAGUCUGAAUAACUUUGUAAAUCAUAAAUUACUUUUAGCUUCAUGCAUAUGCGUAUAAAUGUCAUGUCGUGCAUAGGUACAUAUUUCAUAACAUCAUCAGCCUCUAAGGGCAUCCCAUCAUAUCAUAUCGGCUACUGUGGGCAACAUCAUCAUCGUAUACCAGCUGAUCAGGUGGUGGUGCGUAUAUAACGCCAUAACCUUUCCCAUAUCCCACAUAAAUAUAUAUACAUAUAUAUAUAUAUACGCAUAUAAAACGCCGUUUGAGUACAUACAUAUAUAUAUGCGUAUAUAACGCCGCUUGAACCAUAUUUCAGCCACUGUGGGCAACAUCAUCAUCAUAUACCAGUUGAUUAAGUGGUGGUGCGUAUAUAAUUCCAUAACAUUUCCCAUAUCCCAUAUACAUAUAUACGCUUAUAUAACACUAUUUGGUCAUGGGUCAAUGCACAUGAAUGCAAUGCAUGAAAAGUACGUCAAUAAAAUCAUUCGGAAUGUCAUAAGACCAUUUUCCCUCUUGAGCAAUAUCAUAAAGUAACAUCUUUUCAACUUUCAUAUUUUUCUGAGACCCAUGAACAGAUGAUAAAAUAUUAUGACAUAUGGAAAUUAAGAACAUAGAUAUCUCUAUUACUUCUAUGAGUAGAGUCACUUAUGGAAUUUGUACAUUUGCACGUUUCGUUCACAUCGUAUGGAUCAUGCCAAAAGAAAAAAGGGAUAGCCUUAACAUACCUGUAGUAGGAACAACUCCGUAUAAUUAUCCCGUUGGAAACCUUCGUGGAUUGAAUUUAGAAUCCAAAAAUCGGAUUUAAGUAUCUGCCCUCUGAAAUUGGAACGAAACUUUGCUAUGUUGGAUGAAAUGAUAUUGUUCUCUAACGUUAUGUGUUGGAUUGGAAUGGAAAUUUUUGGACGAAAUUUGGUUAGCUCUUUGAAAUCCAAAUCGAAAUGUUGCUAAAGAAUUUUGGACGAAGUGAUAUGUUUUCCAAGUUUCUUUGAAUUCAAGCCAAACUAAUUGGGCAAGAAAUGAAAGGUUUCUAUUCAAAUUGCUCUUGGUUUUAGCCAAAGCAAUGAAAU
rnacentral:lncRNA from 1 species